GUUCUCUCCUAGAACGCGUGUGUUCUGCUGUGUUCUAUAAUGUUAUAUGCGAGAACACGUGUUCCAUUAAUAGAACAUCGGUGUUCUGUUUUUCUAACAAGCAUUCAAAGCUGUCCAUGCUCUGUGAUUCACAUCCGUUAUGUGAGAAACUGGCGUGACGUCGCAUGUAUUUGGCGCUACAAUUUCCUAUGAUCUGAGGUGUCUGUGGUAAGUAUCCAUCUAGGAAUACUUUUGUUUCAUAUUUAAUACGUACCUAAAAUAAUGUAAUAUUUCGGCGAUAUAUUCAUAUGCUGAUCCCAACGAAGUAAAACCGGCCCCUUACAAAACGCAUAGCAGACGACAUAUUACUCGCCAUUUUGACCGUCAUUUCUGCCAUUGUUCCACACGCUUUAUUUAUAAAUUAUGAGAUGAAAUUCCAAUCCAAAUUGCAAGUGUCACUAUUUGAACGUUUCCGUUUAUUUGAAUGAUGUUCAAAUAAAAUGAAUAUAUAUUUCAGGUUCUAUAUGAAUCGCCUGAAAGUGCGAAGCGGGCUACGUGCAACAAAUCUCUGAACAUCUAAAUUUGGGAUCCGAGGGCAUGAUCAGCAAGCAUCGACAAUGCAUCGAAAUCAGCAGAGAGUAGUGGUGCAUUGCAGAUAAUCAGUACCAUCCAUGGAAAUUAUUGCACAGGGCACACGUCUACACAAAGGAGGAAAAGACACAAGGUUUUGCAGAUCAAAUAAGAAGGAUGUUGGGGAGUCAUAUUUGACAUGAAGUUUCCUGAAGCCUGCGAUGGUCAUGUCGCUGUUACGAACAUCGUCCUUUGGGGAUAUUUACCCACAAGAAACAUCUGCGAAGUACAUGCGCUUGAAACUUAAGUUAUCUUAAGUAUGGAAGUAUGCUUCAAUUUGCUACACAACAGUUUGUAAUGUUUCAUGAAGAACUCUGACUCAUAAGUGACUUGAAUAUCCAUGAUCAUCCCAAACAAAUAUAAUAAAGAAUUCAUGGUUGCAGUUCAGAAUUUCGUCCGUGUGAUUUUAUGCCAGAGAAUAUGCAUGGGUGUAUGGUUUAAAUUCUUACACCUUGAAAAACAUCGGGUAAAUUGUAUUCGACACACACGAUGAGUUGUCGUUUCAGUAAUGUGGAAGUACGUGUCCGAGAACGUGUAGUGUUCUGAAUCUCGGUCCAGAACACUUUACAGGCGUUCUAAAAGCGUUACAUCGUCAGAACACGUUGAAGCGUUCUAAAUAUG